rnacentral:rRNA from 1 species
GGGUUGUGAGGUUAAGCGACUAAGCGUACACGGUGGAUGCCCUGGCAGUCAGAGGCGAUGAAGGACGUGCUAAUCUGCGAUAAGCGUCGGUAAGGUGAUAUGAACCGUUAUAACCGGCGAUUUCCGAAUGGGGAAACCCAGUGUGUUUCGACACACUAUCAUUAACUGAAUCCAUAGGUUAAUGAGGCGAACCGGGGGAACUGAAACAUCUAAGUACCCCGAGGAAAAGAAAUCAACCGAGAUUCCCCCAGUAGCGGCGAGCGAACGGGGAGGAGCCCAGAGCCUGAAUCAGUGUGUGUGUUAGUGGAAGCGUCUGGAAAGGCGCGCGAUACAGGGUGACAGCCCCGUACACAAAAAUGCACAUACUGUGAGCUCGAUGAGUAGGGCGGGACACGUGGUAUCCUGUCUGAAUAUGGGGGGACCAUCCUCCAAGGCUAAAUACUCCUGACUGACCGAUAGUGAACCAGUACCGUGAGGGAAAGGCGAAAAGAACCCCGGCGAGGGGAGUGAAAAAGAACCUGAAACCGUGUACGUACAAGCAGUGGGAGCACAGAGCAAUCUGUGUGACUGCGUACCUUUUGUAUAAUGGGUCAGCGACUUAUAUUCUGUAGCAAGGUUAACCGAAUAGGGGAGCCGAAGGGAAACCGAGUCUUAACUGGGCGUUAAGUUGCAGGGUAUAGACCCGAAACCCGGUGAUCUAGCCAUGGGCAGGUUGAAGGUUGGGUAACACUAACUGGAGGACCGAACCGACUAAUGUUGAAAAAUUAGCGGAUGACUUGUGGCUGGGGGUGAAAGGCCAAUCAAACCGGGAGAUAGCUGGUUCUCCCCGAAAGCUAUUUAGGUAGCGCCUCGUGAAUUCAUCUCCGGGGGUAGAGCACUGUUUCGGCAAGGGGGUCAUCCCGACUUACCAACCCGAUGCAAACUGCGAAUACCGGAGAAUGUUAUCACGGGAGACACACGGCGGGUGCUAACGUCCGUCGUGAAGAGGGAAACAACCCAGACCGCCAGCUAAGGUCCCAAAGUCAUGGUUAAGUGGGAAACGAUGUGGGAAGGCCCAGACAGCCAGGAUGUUGGCUUAGAAGCAGCCAUCAUUUAAAGAAAGCGUAAUAGCUCACUGGUCGAGUCGGCCUGCGCGGAAGAUGUAACGGGGCUAAACCAUGCACCGAAGCUGCGGCAGCGACGCUUAUGCGUUGUUGGGUAGGGGAGCGUUCUGUAAGCCUGUGAAGGUGUGCUGUGAGGCAUGCUGGAGGUAUCAGAAGUGCGAAUGCUGACAUAAGUAACGAUAAAGCGGGUGAAAAGCCCGCUCGCCGGAAGACCAAGGGUUCCUGUCCAACGUUAAUCGGGGCAGGGUGAGUCGACCCCUAAGGCGAGGCCGAAAGGCGUAGUCGAUGGGAAACAGGUUAAUAUUCCUGUACUUGGUGUUACUGCGAAGGGGGGACGGAGAAGGCUAUGUUGGCCGGGCGACGGUUGUCCCGGUUUAAGCGUGUAGGCUGGUUUUCCAGGCAAAUCCGGAAAAUCAAGGCUGAGGCGUGAUGACGAGGCACUACGGUGCUGAAGCAACAAAUGCCCUGCUUCCAGGAAAAGCCUCUAAGCAUCAGGUAACAUCAAAUCGUACCCCAAACCGACACAGGUGGUCAGGUAGAGAAUACCAAGGCGCUUGAGAGAACUCGGGUGAAGGAACUAGGCAAAAUGGUGCCGUAACUUCGGGAGAAGGCACGCUGAUAUGUAGGUGAGGUCCCUCGCGGAUGGAGCUGAAAUCAGUCGAAGAUACCAGCUGGCUGCAACUGUUUAUUAAAAACACAGCACUGUGCAAACACGAAAGUGGACGUAUACGGUGUGACGCCUGCCCGGUGCCGGAAGGUUAAUUGAUGGGGUUAGCGGUAACGCGAAGCUCUUGAUCGAAGCCCCGGUAAACGGCGGCCGUAACUAUAACGGUCCUAAGGUAGCGAAAUUCCUUGUCGGGUAAGUUCCGACCUGCACGAAUGGCGUAAUGAUGGCCAGGCUGUCUCCACCCGAGACUCAGUGAAAUUGAACUCGCUGUGAAGAUGCAGUGUACCCGCGGCAAGACGGAAAGACCCCGUGAACCUUUACUAUAGCUUGACACUGAACAUUGAGCCUUGAUGUGUAGGAUAGGUGGGAGGCUUAGAAGUGUGGACGCCAGUCUGCAUGGAGCCGACCUUGAAAUACCACCCUUUAAUGUUUGAUGUUCUAACGUUGACCCGUAAUCCGGGUUGCGGACAGUGUCUGGUGGGUAGUUUGACUGGGGCGGUCUCCUCCUAAAGAGUAACGGAGGAGCACGAAGGUUGGCUAAUCCUGGUCGGACAUCAGGAGGUUAGUGCAAUGGCAUAAGCCAGCUUGACUGCGAGCGUGACGGCGCGAGCAGGUGCGAAAGCAGGUCAUAGUGAUCCGGUGGUUCUGAAUGGAAGGGCCAUCGCUCAACGGAUAAAAGGUACUCCGGGGAUAACAGGCUGAUACCGCCCAAGAGUUCAUAUCGACGGCGGUGUUUGGCACCUCGAUGUCGGCUCAUCACAUCCUGGGGCUGAAGUAGGUCCCAAGGGUAUGGCUGUUCGCCAUUUAAAGUGGUACGCGAGCUGGGUUUAGAACGUCGUGAGACAGUUCGGUCCCUAUCUGCCGUGGGCGCUGGAGAACUGAGGGGGGCUGCUCCUAGUACGAGAGGACCGGAGUGGACGCAUCACUGGUGUUCGGGUUGUCAUGCCAAUGGCACUGCCCGGUAGCUAAAUGCGGAAGAGAUAAGUGCUGAAAGCAUCUAAGCACGAAACUUGCCCCGAGAUGAGUUCUCCCUGACUCCUUGAGAGUCCUGAAGGAACGUUGAAGACGACGACGUUGAUAGGCCGGGUGUGUAAGCGCAGCGAUGCGUUGAG